rnacentral:rRNA from 1 species
UACGUAGGGUGCGAGCGUUGUCCGGAAUUAUUGGGCGUAAAGGGUUCGUAGGCGGUCUGUUGCGUCAGGAGUGAAAACUCGGGGCUUAACCCCGAGCCUGCUUCUGAUACGGGCAGACUAGAGGUAUGCAGGGGAGAACGGAAUUCCUGGUGUAGCGGUGAAAUGCGCAGAUAUCAGGAGGAACACCGGUGGCGAAGGCGGUUCUCUGGGCAUUACCUGACGCUGAGGAGCGAAAGUGUGGGGAGCGAACAGG